rnacentral:rRNA from 1 species
GGAAACGACUGCUAAUACCGCAUAAGCCCACGGCUCGGCAUCCAGCAGAGGGGAAAAGGAGCAAUCCGCUUUGAGAUGGCCUCGCGUCCGAUUAGCUAGUUGGUGAGGUAACGGCCCACCAAGGCGACGAUCGGUAGCCGGACUGAGAGGUUGAACGGCCACAUUGGGACUGAGACACGGCCCAGACUCCUACGGGAGGCAGCAGUGGGGAAUAUUGCACAAUGGGGGAAACCCUGAUGCAGCGACGCCGCGUGGAGGAAGAAGGUCUUCGGAUUGUAAACUCCUGUUGUUGAGGAAGAUAAUGACGGUACUCAACAAGGAAGUGACGGCUAACUACGUGCCAGCAGCCGCGGUAAAACGUAGGUCACAAGCGUUGUCCGGAAUUACUGGGUGUAAAGGGAGCGCAGGCGGGAGAACAAGUUGGAAGUGAAAUCCAUGGGCUCAACCCAUGAACUGCUUUCAAAACUGUUUUUCUUGAGUAGUGCAGAGGUAGGCGGAAUUCCCGGUGUAGCGGUGGAAUGCGUAGAUAUCGGGAGGAACACCAGUGGCGAAGGCGGCCUACUGGGCACCAACUGACGCUGAGGCUCGAAAGUGUGGGUAGCAAACAGGAUUAGAUACCCUGGU